rnacentral:lncRNA from 1 species
CCUGCCAGGCGUAGCAAGCGUAUCAGGAGCUCAGCCCCUGUGCACCAGACAUCGGACUCCAGCAGUGACGACGGCAUUGAGGAAGCCAUUCAGCUGUACCAGCUAGAGAAAACCAGGAAGGAGGCCAGUGGGGACCAACCUCUGAGAGCCCAGCCGAAAGAGGAAAGCCCUGGUAGUACCCAGCCAAGUGCCUUGCCUGAAGCCCACAGGAGACCCCCUAGCAAGAAAAAGGUGGCAGUUCCAAAGGUUAUAGACACCACCCAGGGGGGCCUCCACCCUGACCCCCUCUCUAAGCUCCUAACAGAUUCGAGAACCUCUGUAUCUCCAGGACACACAGCUGCCAAAAGUGACGCUGUGC